GACGAACGCUGGCGGCGUGCUUAACACAUGCAAGUCGAACGGAAAGGCCCUGCUUUUGUGGGGUGCUCGAGUGGCGAACGGGUGAGUAACACGUGAGUAACCUGCCCAUGACUUUGGGAUAACUUCAGGAAACUGGGGCUAAUACCGGAUAGAAGCUCCUGCUGCAUGGUGGGGGUUGGAAAGUUUCGGCGGUUGGGGAUGGACUCGCGGCUUAUCAGCUUGUUGGUGGGGUAGUGGCUUACCAAGGCUUUGACGGGUAGCCGGCCUGAGAGGGUGACCGGCCACAUUGGGACUGAGAUACGGCCCAGACUCCUACGGGAGGCAGCAGUGGGGAAUAUUGCACAAUGGGCGGAAGCCUGAUGCAGCAACGCCGCGUGCGGGAUGACGGCCUUCGGGUUGUAAACCGCUUUCGCCUGUGACGAAGCGUGAGUGACGGUAAUGGGUAAAGAAGCACCGGCUAACUACGUG
rnacentral:rRNA from 1 species